CAAUAGCGUAUAUUAAAGUUGUUGCAGUUAAAAAGCUCGUAGUUGAAUUUUUGCUUGCCGCCGAUGUCGGAACUUCCGUACGUUCGGCGGCGUGCAUCCUUGGGUGGAACCUGUGUGGCAUUAGGUUGUCGUGCAGGGGAUGCUCAUCGUUUACUGUGAAAAAAUUAGAGUGUUCAAAGCAGGCUUACGCCGUUGAAUAUAUUAGCAUGGAAUAAUAAGAUAGGACCUUGGUACUAUUUUGUUGGUUUGCGCACCGAGGUAAUGAUUAACAGGGACAGUUGGGGGUAUUCGUAUUCCAUUGUCAGAGGUGAAAUUCUUGGAUUUCUGGAAGGCGAACUACUGCGAAAGCAUUUACCAAGGAUGUUUNCAUUAA
rnacentral:rRNA from 1 species